CCUACGGGUUGCACCAGUGGGGAAUGUUGCACAAUGGGCGGAAGCCUGAUGCAGCGACGCCGCGUGGGGGAUGACGGCCUUCGGGUUGUAAACCCCUUUCGCCCGGGACGAAGCGAGAGUGACGGUACCGGGAGAAGAAGCACCGGCCAACUACGUGCCGGCAGCCGCGGUAAUACGUAGGGUGCAAGCGUUGCCCGGGAUUAUUGGGCGUAAAGAGCUCGUAGGCGGUGUGUCGCGUCUGCCGUGAAAACCUGCGGCUUAACCGUGGGCGUGCGGUGGAUACGGGCACACUUGAGUUCGGUAGGGGAGACUGGGAUUCCUGGUGUAGCGGUGGAAUGCGCAGAUAUCAGGAGGAACACCAGUGGCGAAGGCGGGUCUCUGGGCCGAAACUGACGCCGAGGAGCGAAAGCGUGGGGAGCGAACAGGAUUAGAUACCCGCGUAGUC
rnacentral:rRNA from 1 species